rnacentral:rRNA from 1 species
AUUGAACGCUGGCGGCAUGCCUUACACAUGCAAGUCGAACGGCAGCACGGGAGUAAUCCUGGUGGCGAGUGGCGAACGGGUGAGUAAUAUAUCGGAACGUGCCCAGUCGUGGGGGAUAACGCAGCGAAAGCUGUGCUAAUACCGCAUACGAUCUAAGGAUGAAAGCGGGGGAUCGCAAGACCUCGCGCGAUUGGAGCGCCCGAUAGCAGAUUAGCUAGUUGGUGGGGUAAAGGCCCACCAAGGCGACGAUCUGUAGCUGGUCUGAGAGGACGACCAGCCACACUGGAACGGAGACACGGUCCAGACUCCUACGGGAGGCAGCAGUGGGGAAUUUUGGACAAUGGGCGCAAGCCUGAUCCAGCAAUGCCGCGUGCAGGAUGAAGGCCUUCGGGUUGUAAACUGCUUUUGUACGGAACGAAACGGCCCUUUCUAAUACAGGGGGCUAAUGACGGUACCGUAAGAAUAAGCACCGGCUAACUACGUGCCAGCCGCCGCAGUAA